rnacentral:rRNA from 1 species
GACGGGGGAUGCAAGCAUUAUCCGGAAUCACUGGGCGUAAAGCGUCUGUAGGUGGUGAUGCAAGUCACUGGUGCAAAACUCUGGCUCAACCGGAGGAAAGCCAGUGAAACUGCAUGACUAGAGUGUGGGAGAGGUAGAAGGAAUUCCCUGAGUAGCGGUGAAAUGCGUAGAUACAGGGAAGAACACCGGAGGCGAAAGCGUUCUACUGGAACACAACUGACACUGUGAGUCGAAAGCUAGGGGAGCGAAUGGG